GGGGCUGAUUCUGGAUUCGACGGGAUUUGCGAAACCCAAGGUGCAUGCCGAGGGGCGGUUGGCCUCGUAAAAAGCCGCAAAAAAAUAGUCGCAAACGACGAAACCUACGCUUUAGCAGCUUAAUAACCUGCUUAGAGCCCUCUCUCCCUAGCCUCCGCUCUUAGGACGGGGAUCAAGAGAGGUCAAACCCAAAAGAGAUCGCGUGGAUGCCCUGCCUGGGGUUGAAGCGUUAAAACGAAUCAGGCUAGUCUGGUAGUGGCGUGUCCGUCCGCAGGUGCCAGGCGAAUGUAAAGACUGACUAAGCAUGUAGUACCGAGGAUGUAGGAAUUUCGGACGCGGG
rnacentral:tmRNA from 2 species